GCAUAUCAAUAAGCGGAGGAAAAGAAACUAACAAGGAUUCCCCUAGUAACGGCGAGUGAAGCGGGAAGAGCUCAAAUUUGAAAUCUGGUGGCCUCAGGUCAUCCGAGUUGUAAUCUAUAGAAGUGUUUUCCGUGCUGGCUCAUGUACAAGUCCCUUGGAACAGGGCGUCAUAGAGGGUGAGAAUCCCGUCCCUUGACAUGAACUACCAGUGCUCUGUGAUACAUUUUCAACGAGUCGAGUUGUUUGGGAAUGCAGCUCAAAAUGGGUGGUAAAUUCCAUCUAAAGCUAAAUAUUGGCGAGAGACCGAUAGCGAACAAGUACCGUGAGGGAAAGAUGAAAAGCACUUUGGAAAGAGAGUUAAACAGUAUGUGAAAUUGUUAAAAGGGAAACGAUUGAAGUCAGUCGUGCUCUUUGGAUUCAGCCGGUUCUGCCGGUGUACUUCCUUUGAGUGGGGUCAACAUCAGUUUUGAUCGCUGGAUAAAGGCUGGAGGAACGUAGCACCCCCGGGUGAACUUAUAGCCUCCUGUCACAUACAGUGGUUGGGACUGAGGAACGCAGCACGCCUUUAUGGCCAGGAUCCGUCCAUGUACGUGCUUAGGAUGUUGACAUAAUGGCUUUAAACGACCCGUCUUGAAACACGGACC
rnacentral:rRNA from 1 species